rnacentral:rRNA from 1 species
AAGCGUACACGGUGGAUGCCCUGGCAGUCAGAGGCGAUGAAGGACGUGCUAAUCUGCGAUAAGCGUCGGUAAGGUGAUAUGAACCGUUAUAACCGGCGAUUUCCGAAUGGGGAAACCCAGUGUGUUUCGACACACUAUCAUUAACUGAAUCCAUAGGUUAAUGAGGCGAACCGGGGGAACUGAAACAUCUAAGUACCCCGAGGAAAAGAAAUCAACCGAGAUUCCCCCAGUAGCGGCGAGCGAACGGGGAGGAGCCCAGAGCCUGAAUCAGUGUGUGUGUUAGUGGAAGCGUCUGGAAAGGCGCGCGAUACAGGGUGACAGCCCCGUACACAAAAAUGCACAUA